rnacentral:ribozyme from 1 species
AUCCUUCAUCGGCCUAUUAUCGGUUCAAAUCCGAAAUGAACUAACUAUACUGCUUACUUACUUACUUAUCCGGCUCUCCCAUCCAACUCCUAUUCCGACACGUCCUCGUCCACUCUAGGUAACAUGUGUCACCACAUAUCCAAGCUUGGGUACACGGGCUUGACCCAACCCCUUGGGCGGAUGAUGGCAUAUGGCGAACCAGGAGGGG